UACGUAGGGUGCGAGCGUUAAUCGGAAUUACUGGGGCGUAAAGCGUGCGCAGGCGGUUCGUUGUGUCGGUGGUGAAAGCCCCGGGCUUAACCUGGGAAUGGCCAUGGAAACUGGCGAACUGGAGUGUGGCAGAGGGGGGGUGGAAUUCCGCGUGUAGCAGUGAAAUGCGUAGAGAUGCGGAGGAACACCGAUGGCGAAGGCAGCCCCCUGGGCUAGCACUGACGCCUCAGGCACGAAAGCGUGGGGAGCAAACAGG
rnacentral:rRNA from 1 species